rnacentral:hammerhead_ribozyme from 1 species
AUCCAACUGAUGAGUCCUAAACAGGACGAAACACGCAUCUUGUAU